rnacentral:rRNA from 1 species
UCAAGCAAAAAAGAGCGCAGGGUGGAUGCCUUGGCACUAAGAGCCGAAGAAAGACGUGAUAAGCUGCGAAAAGCUGCGGGGAGAUGCAAAUAAUCUUUGAUCCGCAGAUGUCUGAAUGGGGAAACCCGGCUGGAAGGACUCCAGUCAUCCAUACGCCAAUCCAUAACGUAUGGAAGGGAACCCGGUGAACUGAAACAUCUAAGUAGCCGGAGGAAGAGAAAGAAACAUCGAUUUUGUUAGUAGCGGCGAGCGAAAGCGAAAGAGGCCAAACCGGAGUGCGUGCACUCCGGGGUUCGGACCGCAUUUAAGAUUCAGUGAUUCUAGCAGAAAGGUUUGGGAAAGCCUGCCGGAGAGGGUGAAAGCCCCGUAAGCGAAAGGAAAACUGACAAGGCGGUAUCCAGAGUACAUCGAGACACGUGAAACCUUGAUGGAACACGCGGGGACCACCCCGUAAGCCUAAAUACUACUUAGUGACCGAUAGCGCAUAGUACUGUGAAGGAAAGGUGAAAAGGACCCCGGGAGGGGAGUGAAAGAGAACCUGAAACCCUGUGUUUACAAUCUGUGGAAGGUCUUUAUAUGAUCAACCGCGUACUUUUUGUAGAACGGUCCGGCGAGUUACGCGUACUGGCAAGGUUAAGUGCUUAAGGCACGGAGCCGAAGCGACAGCGAGUCUUAACUGGGCGAUGAGUCAGUACGAGUAGACCCGAAACCGGGUGAUCUAUCCAUGUCCAGGUUGAAGUUGUCGUAAAAGACAAUGGAGGACCGAAGCCACAUCCGUUGAAAAGGGUGGGCAUGAGGUGUGGAUAGGGGAGAAAUUCCAAUCGAACCCGGAGAUAGCUGGUUCUCCUCGAAAUAGCUUUAGGGCUAGCCUCGAUUUAGUCUUAUGGAGGUAGAGCACUGAAUUUCCGCGGGGGCGUCAAAGCUUACCAAAGAAUAUCAAACUCCGAAUGCCAUGUAGAUGAUGAACGGGAGUCAGACUGCACGAGAUAAGUUGGGCGGUCAAAAGGGAAAGAGCCCAGACCACCGGCUAAGGUCCCAAAGUGUGUGUUAAGUGGAAAAGGAUGUGGGAAUUCGAAGACAACUAGGAUGUUGGCUCAGAAGCAGCCAUACAUUCAAAGAGUGCGUAACAGCUCACUAGUCGAGAGUUCCUGCGCCGAAAAUGUCCGGGGCUGAAACACGACACCGAAGCCGUGGACUCGCAAUGCGAGUGGUAGAGGAGCAUUCUUAAAACCGACGAAGCUGUACCGAAAGGAGCAGUGGAGGGAUAAGAAGAGAGAAUGCCGGAAUGAGUAGCGAGAGAAAGGUGGGAAUCCUUUCGGCCGAAUAUCUAAGGUUUCCAGAGUAAAGCUGAUCUGCUCUGGGUAAGUCGGGGCCUAAGCACAGGUCGCAAGACGUAAGCGAUGGAUAACAGGUUUAGAUUCCUGUACCACGCAUUAUCAGAACUGUAGGGACGCAUGUGGAAAGCACGAGCCGGGAAUGGAAAGACCGGUACAAGCGGGGUAGGAGUACAAUAGGCAAAUCCGUUGUAUGAUCCGAAGACGUGAUGUGGAGCGAAAUAAAGUAGUGAAGCGUGUGAGCCAUGUGCCGAGAAAAGCUGCUAUUGUGUAAUGCGUGCCCGUACCGUAAACCGACACAGGUGGAUGAGGAGAGAAUCCUAAGGCCGGCGGAAGAAGCAUUGUCAAGGAACUCGGCAAAAUGACCCCGUAACUUCGGGAGAAGGGGUGCCUGCGAGAGCAGGCCGCAGAGAAUAGGCUCAAGCAACUGUUUAGCAAAAACACAGGUCUAUGCGAAACCGAAAGGUGAGGUAUAUGGGCUGACGCCUGCCCGGUGCUGGAAGGUUAAGAGGAGAGGUUAGCGCAAGCGAAGCUUUGAAUUUAAGCCCCAGUAAACGGCGGCCGUAACUAUAACGGUCCUAAGGUAGCGAAAUUCCUUGUCGGGUAAGUUCCGACCCGCACGAAAGGCGUAACGAUCUGGGCGCUGUCUCGGAGAGAGGCUCGGCGAAAUAGAAUUGUCUGUGAAGAUGCGGACUACGUGCACCUGGACAGAAAGACCCUAUGAAGCUUUACUGUAGCUUGAUAUUGUGUUCGGGCUCUGAAUGCGCAGGAUAGGUGGGAGGCUUUGAUCAUUAGCUUGCGGGUUAAUGUGAGCCACUGGUGAGAUACCACUCUUUCAGAGCUAGAAUUCUAACUUUCACCCGUUAUCCGGGGAGAGGACAUUAUCUGGUGGGCAGUUUGACUGGGGCGGUCGCCUCCUAAAAGGUAACGGAGGCGCGCAAAGGUUUGCUCAGGCUGGUUGGAAAUCAGCCGACGAGUGUAAAAGCAGAAGCAAGCUUGACUGUGAGACCUACAAGUCGAACAGGGAGGAAACUCGGCUUUAGUGAUCCGACGGUUCUGCGUGGAAGGGCCGUCGCUCAACGGAUAAAAGUUACUCUAGGGAUAACAGGCUGAUCUCCCCCAAGAGUCCACAUCGACGGGGAGGUUUGGCACCUCGAUGUCGGCUCAUCGCAUCCUGGGGCUGUAUUCGGUCCCAAGGGUUUGGCUGUUCGCCAAUUAAAGCGGUACGCGAGCUGGGUUCAGAACGUCGUGAGACAGUUCGGUCCCUAUCUGUCGUGGGCGCAGGAUAUUUGAUGGGAGCUGUCCCUAGUACGAGAGGACCGGGACGGACGUACCUCUGGCGCACCAGUUGUUCCGCCAGGAGCAUAGCUGGGCAACUACGUACGGAUCGGAUAAACGCUGAAAGCAUCUAAGCGUGAAGCCGACCCAAAGAUAAGAUAUCCCACUGAUUCAAUCAGGUAAGAUCCCUUGUAGACUACGAGGUUGAUAGGCACGAUGUGUAAGUGGAGCGAUCCAUUCAGCAAGCGUGUACUAAUAGGUCGAGGGCUUGACCAC